GAUGAACGCUAGCGGCAGGCUUAAUACAUGCAAGUCAAGGGGGUAGCAAUACAACCGGCGCACGGGUGAGUAACGCGUACACAACAUACCAUAUACUGGAGUAUAGCUUCGGGAAACUGAAGGUAAUCCUCCAUAACAUUGCGAGAAGGCAUCUAAUUGCAAUUAAAGUUUCGACGGUAUAUGAUUGGUGUGCGUUUGAUUAGCUAGUUGGUAGGGUAACGGCCUACCAAGGCGACGAUCAAUAAGCUGGCGUGAGAGCGCGUCCAGCCACACUGGAACUGAGACACGGUCCAGACUCCUACGGGA
rnacentral:rRNA from 1 species